rnacentral:rRNA from 1 species
UACGUAGGGGGCUAGCGUUGUCCGGAUUUAUUGGGCGUAAAGAGCGUGUAGGCGGCCAGGUAGGUCCGCUGUGAAAGUCCGAGGCUCAACCUCGGAAUGUCGGCGGAAACCCUCUGGCUAGAGUCCGGAAGAGGAGAGUGGAAUUCCCGGUGUAGCGGUGAAAUGCGCAGAUAUCAGGAGGAACACCAAUUGCGAAGGCAGCUCGCUGGGACGUUACUGACGCUGAGACGCGAAAGCGUGGGGAGCAAACAGG